UCCUUCUGCAGUCGCUGGCUCACUUUCCAGCCGCCCUGGCCGACUUCUACCUCUCCGUGCUGCUGGAAGAAGGAAAAGUCGAUUCUGAUUUGGAGUCGGACGAUGACGAAUGGCACUCCUUCACACAGGUACAGGUCAAGAUGGUCUCUGCUGAAAGUGAGAGGAAAAUAACUGAGCUUUAAUGGAAGACAUCAGUCCACUAGUCUGACAAGUCAAGGCUCAUCUUCAGUAAUGGAAAACCAAUGGAUUGCAAAAUCCUUGCCUGUUCUUGCGUAAAGUCUCCAGCACUACCCUGUGCUCUUGUCCAGUAUACUGCAGUGGUAUUAUUCCAAUGAUAGCAGCUUUUUUUUUUUUUUCUUGUUUUCCAGCCUGCAAGCAAUCCCCACAGUGAAAUUCAAUGACACGAUGAUGUGUUACAGUAGCUUUUUAAAAAACAAAUAAAUAAAGGCCUUUUACCUGGCCUGCCUUUUUGCUCAGCCCAAAUUCCAGAAAUACAAAUUCAAGCCUCAACAUGCUGUUUUGGCUCCACAGCGCACCCUUUACUGCAGUCAUAAGAUUAUAGAGUCAGGAGACUCUGCUAUGCAUUAGCUGUUACGGCAAAACACUGUGUUGACAACAAAAGGGAACAAGAUUGUACUUCAUAAUCAACAAUGGAUAACCAUAGCCUCUCUCCUUUUCCCUCCCCUCACCCUCCGCUCAACUUUAGUUACUGAUCAAUAUUCCCCGCCCAGUUCAUCUACAACCACAUUGUCCCAUGAGCCAUUUCGGUGACAAAUGAUAAUUCCAUUAAUGUUUGAAAUACAAUAAUGCUAUUUUAUCAUCACCUCUGUAUGGCACAGAGGCAGAGCACAUUUUGAAUCAUUACAAUGCCUUCUUCUCCUGCUUUAGUCAGUCCGAAGAGAUUGGAUAAUUACCGUUGCUCCACUAUUGAGCUGCUAAUUAAUUCUAUGCUGCAGCCCCACUGAUGGCGUUGAUCCUUGCACCGCACAAAUGUGCUCAUUGAGCUCAGCUAAGCGAGAAUUAUUGUCAAAGGUCUGAAAGUACUCUCAUUGAAACCUGACACCCAUAUGUAUUAGAUUUAGUUCUGAAAUUAAGUCUACUAGGAUGAAAUGUACUGUAUGCUGUAACAAAAGAUGGCAUGUCCAUUAGUCUUUGUGAGUUGGAUUCAUCUGCACGAGAUCUGGGUAUAUUUAUGUCACUGCUUUAAUGCUGGGAUGAUCUUGUCUUUAAGUGGAGUCAAUUCAUAGUGCUUGUAUUACAUCAACAAAUUAAUCCCUUGGAUUAAAUUAACAUUAGAUUUAACUCCACUCUAAUCUGCUUUAGAUGCAAUUCAAGUUCACUCAUCCUUAUAAUGGUGAGUAGGAAAUGGAAAGUAAAACAGAAUAACUACCAAACACUUUUAAUCAAAGACUUUUAGCAGUAUGUAUGGUAAUUCCAACAUGCACAUCCAUACAGAUACACUCUGUAGCCUCCUCCGACAUCUUAAAAUAUGGCAUACAUUAGAGGCAUUAAGGCUCUCCCGCAGCUGUCAUACAUUCAGUAAGAUAGUAAGUGCAGUAAGUUUGGAAAUCCAAAUAAUAAAAUCAGAAAUAAAAUAAAUACAGACAAAGCAAGCACUAAAUUUACGGGACAGAAAUAAAGAAAAGCAGCUUCACAAAUGAACCUAUACAUUAAAAAUGCACACGUCUACUGCAGUGGGACAAAAGCUGAAUGAAGUAAAGUAAAACAAUUAACACAAUUAGAGAAAAGCAGCAGUACUAAAUGAAAAAAUGCAUUUUGAGGAGUUGUUUCAGAACCUGCUGCCACUUCACAACUGGAGUAUGCAUGUAUUUGCAUUUUAAAAGCACUGUUUAUUGCUGUGCAUGUUCAACUGAAAAUUAGGGUCGUCUUUGCAACAGUUUAUCUCAUUUGCAGUCUGUCGCUUGGGGACCAAAUCAGCCAUCAUCUCUUUUGUCACAGCUCAGCUAAUGUUUCAGUUAUACUCGGAAAACACACCUCACUCCAAUACACCAACAGGACAGGGUGGAGUCUUGCUCCAUUGCACAGGCAUGGCAAGCUGGACUGAGUCAUAUUACCCAUGAUGCAUCUCGUGUAGCUGAAGGUGGGGGCAGGGCAUCCCUGGUUUCCCUGAUUUCUCUGUCACUGAAUGGGAGACACCUCUGAGUCAUCGCUGUCACCUGUGAUGUCACUGGUGCAUCAUGAAUAGAGGAAGAGUGUCUCUGCAGUCAGACUAGCAAUUUACGUCACAUCUAACAUCAACAUGUCAGUCAGUAUCAAUGUACCUUUUCAUAGGUAGUUUGUUUUUACAAUAAGCUAUUUCCAACUGGCCACCAGCGACCCUCAUCUUACAAUGUAUUUAUUUCUGGAAAGCAUCACUGUUAAAAAGAGCUUUGCCCCCAUUCUCAGGCAUCCUUACAUGACUUUUCACCCUUCCUCUUUUUAUUCACUCCUAAAAAUUGUCUUUAUAACCCCCUUCACUUUCACCACAGGACAAACUGAACAUCUGGAAUUCAUCAUCUCAUCCAGGAGGAGCCAUAAACAGUGAGAAAUGUU